rnacentral:rRNA from 1 species
GACGAACGCUGGCGGCGUGCUUAACACAUGCAAGUCGAACGGUGAAAGCGGAGCUUGCUCCGCUGGAUCAGUGGCGAACGGGUGAGUAACACGUGGGCAACCUGCCCCUCACUUCGGGAUAACUCCGGGAAACCGGGGCUAAUACCGGAUAUGACCUCCUUGGGCAUCCUUGGAGGUGGAAAGUUUUUCGGCGAGGGAUGGGCCCGCGGCCUAUCAGCUUGUUGGUGAGGUAGUGGCUCACCAAGGCGACGACGGGUAGCCGGCCUGAGAGGGCGACCGGCCACACUGGGACUGAGACACGGCCCAGACUCCUACGGGAGGCCGCAGUGGGGAAUAUUGCGCAAUGGGCGAAAGCCUGACGCAGCAACGCCGCGUGCGGGAUGACGGCCUUCGGGUUGUAAACCGCUUUCAGCAGGGAAGAAGCCGCAAGGUGACGGUACCAGCAGAAGAAGCACCGGCUAACUACGUGCCAGCCGCCGCAGUAA